rnacentral:rRNA from 1 species
UUGGUGAGGUAAUGGCUCACCAAGGCGACGACGGGUAGCCGGCCUGAGAGGGCGACCGGCCACACUGGGACUGAGACACGGCCCAGACUCCUACGGGAGGCAGCAGUGGGGAAUAUUGCACAAUGGGCGAAAGCCUGAUGCAGCGACGCCGCGUGAGGGAUGACGGCCUUCGGGUUGUAAAUCUCUUUCAGCAGGGAAGAAGCGAAAGUGACGGUACCUGCAGAAGAAGCGCCGGCUAACUACGUGCCAGCAGCCGCGGUAAUACGUAGGGCGCAAGCGUUGUCCGGAAUUAUUGGGCGUAAAGAGCUCGUAGGCGGCUUGUCACGUCGGGUGUGAAAGCCCGGGGCUUAACCCCGGGUCUGCAUUCGAUACGGGCUAGCUAGAGUGUGGUAGGGGAGAUCGGAAUUCCUGGUGUAGCGGUGAAAUGCGCAGAUAUCAGGAGGAACACCGGUGGCGAAGGCGGAUCUCUGGGCCAUUACUGACGCUGAGGAGCGAAAGCGUGGGGAGCGAACAGGAUUAGAUACCCUGGUAGUCCACGCCGUAAACGGUGGGAACUAGGUGUUGGCGACAUUCCACGUCGUCGGUGCCGCAGCUAACGCAUUAAGUUCCCCGCCUGGGGAGUACGG